UAGUACGAGAGGAACACUUCGUCCAGAUACUUGGUUAAUGCCGUUGUCUGAAAAGACAGUACGGCGAAGCUACCAUCUGCUGGAUUACGGCUGAACGCCUCUAAGCCGGAAUCCAUGCUGGAUAAGCAGUGUUGUACACCGUGCUCAAUGCUACAAGAAAAAGGCUAGGUCAGGCUUCGGCCUGACCAAAAUUCAAGCUGCUAUACCUCUGGCUGCAUUGACUUGUGGUCAGAGUGUAUGGUGAUCAUAGCAAUUGCAAGUAUUGGGCUCGAUAAAUCCUUUGAAGACGACUUAAUUGCAUCCGGGUAUUGUAAGUGUUGAGAGUAGGCUUAGUCUUACGAUCCACUGAGAUUCAUCCCGUGUUGCGCCGAUUUGU
rnacentral:ncRNA from 1 species